rnacentral:rRNA from 1 species
UGGGGAAUUUUGCACAAUGGGGGAAACCCUGAUGCAGCGACGCCGCGUGAUUUAGAAGGCCUUCGGGUUGUAAAAAUCUUUUCUAUGGGAAGAAAAUGACAGUACCAUAGGAAUAAGGACCGGCUAAUUACGUGCCAGCAGCCGCGGUAAUACGUAAGGUCCGAGCGUUGGCCGGAAUCAUUGGGCGUAAAGGGUACGUAGGCGGGUAAGCAAGUUAGAAGUGAAAUCCUAUAGCUCAACUAUAGUAAGCUUUUAAAACUGCUCAUCUUGAGGUAUGGAAGGGAAAGUGGAAUUCCUAGUGUAGCGGUGAAAUGCGCAGAUAUUAGGAGGAAUACCGGUGGCGAAGGCGACUUUCUGGCCAUAACCUGACGCUGAGGUACGAAAGCGUGGGUAGCAAACAGG